UUUUUUUCAGUGUUUCAUUACAUCGAGUUUCGCGAUCGAGUGUAGCGCUGUACCUUGGGAAGAAAGCAAGAGCGAAACUAGGGAAGGGAGUGUACAAUAUUUGACUUUCAUGAGAACUGGUAACUGGCAUUUUUGUUUCCAUGACCACAUUUGGCUCCCUCUUGUUAGUGUUUAUUGACAACUUUGUAAUAACACAUGUAUCCGUUGGUAAAAUACAAUUCCUCUUCCCCCUCCCUCCAUGCUCACACCAUUGUACGCAUUGGCACCUACACACAUUGCACAAUAUUUGACAACAGAGAACGUGACACUAAUAUAUACAAACAUGGAAACCAGCCACAUGUUAGCAUACUAUCUUCUGAACUCCAAGAUGCUCCACGUCAGAACUCAAAAUCUUCUACUUGGGAUGAUAAUUUUGUUGGUGGUUGAGAUUCACAGCUGUGAGGCACAUCAAACUCACACCAAGAGGCUUUUAAACGCAAGCAAGAUAUACAGAAAAUAUGAUAUUCCAGUUACCCAUAUUCAAGCGAUUGACGCUUGUCGAAUAAUGCGUGGUCGCCUUGCAUUGCCUGAG